GGCUUCCCUGGUGGCGCAGUGGUUGAGAGUCCGCCUGCCGAUGCAGGGGACACGGGUUCGUGCCCCGGUCCAGGAAGAUCCCACAUGCCGCGGAGCGGCUGGGUCCGUGAGCUAUGGCCACUGAGCCUGCGCGUCUGGAGCCUGUGCUUCGCAACGGGAGAGGCCACAACAGUGAGAGGCCUGCGUACCGCAAAAAAAAUAGUGGAUUAAAUGACUAACCACCAGAUGUAGGUAAGCAGGUGCUAACUUGUUAUUUUUAAAAUGGAAGCACAUAGCUGUAUGAGAUAUGUUGAGACAUAUAUUAAUAAAUCCUAUAUUAUGACAUAGAAGUAACCAUUAGAGCAAGCAUAUAUUAAUUAAAAAGUAAAUAUCUAUAUUUAAAUGAAAUAAAACCUUGCCUGAAUUUCCUUUAAAAAAAAUUCUUCUGGAUUUGAGUUAUUGUUAUGUAAUAUGUGCCUAAUAAUGUCACACUUCUCUCUCUUAUUCUUUCCUUACCUUAGUUUUUUGACGAAACCCAUUCUACUGGCAUAGCUUAGCUUUCUGAUCUCAAGCUGGUCAUUACAAGUCACUGUUUUUCCUAAAAGUAAAGAGCAGUAGUUUGGGCUAAAGGGCCUCCUUCCUUAGUGUGUAUUACACAUAUAACAUGUAAAUUGUUAUAAAUAUUUAAAGAAAGCAUUUAGCCCCCAGCCUACAAAAGAUAGCAUCUCAAAUAUGUAUUUGCAGAUGAGUUUUUUGAAACUUAGAACAUGCUUUUCCAUAGUAACAGUGAGGUAAAUAAUGGAUUAGUUCCUGGACUAAUCUACAAAUGUUAUUUGAUUUAUGAUGUCAUUCAAAUAAUGUGCAUGUACAAUUAAAAAUAUAACUGAGGUGGGACUUCCCUGUGGCACAGUGGUUAAGAGUCCACCUGCCAAUGCAGAGGACACAGGUUCGAGCCCUGGUCCAGGAGGAUCCCACAUGCCACGGCGCAACUAAGCCCGUGCGUCACAACUACUGAGCCUGCACUUUAGAGCCACGUGCCACAGCUACUGAAGCCCAUGCACCACAACUACUGGAGCCCGCACACCUAGAGCCUGUGCUCCACAACAAGAGAAGCCACCACAAUGAGGAGCUUGCUCGCUGCAACUGGAGAAAGCCCACACGCAGCAAUGAGGAUCCAACGCAGCCAAAGAUAAAUAAAUAAAUAAAUUAAUUAAUUAAAACAAAAAAAUAUAUAUAUGUAUAUAUAUAACUGAGGGACUUCCCUGGUGGUCCAGUGGUUAGAACUCUGUGCUUCCAAUGCAGGGGGUGUGGAUUGGAUCCCUGGUGGAGAACUAAGGUCCCACAUGCCAUGCCAUGGGGCCUAUGUACAUAUAUAUAAAAAUAUACCUGAAAUCAAUACUUCUGCAAUAUUUUACAAUUUAAAAAACAAGAAGGAAAACCCCUUGGUAUUGAAUGAAUAAUUUUUCAUGAAUGCUGGUAGUUAAAGAAAGGCAGGUUUUAAGGGUCAAGGAGAAAAGUUGGAUGAAAGUUUUGGAUUUCCAGAGUGGGAAGCAGCGCCCCAUACUGGAACCCGAGCCACAGGAAAAACCUGCGCCCUUACACCUGUAUAGAUCUAAAUAUCCUCCCAAUCAGAAAAAGUUAAUAAAAACCCUAUAAUUUGGAAAAACAUAGAUAGAUAGAUAAUAGAUAGGAAAAAAAUCCCACAUUGCCAAUCUGCUUACACACCCCUGUCAAUCAGCCCUCAUAAACUGUCACAGCCAGUUGGGGGGUGGGAGGAAGGGCAGGGGUCAGCAGCCACGCUGUAGGGGCCAGGGGUUGAUUGGAAAUGACUGCUCUGUGUUGCAGAGAUGAGAGGUCGUAAAUAAGCAACAGCUUGUCUUUGUUUAAAAUGUUAAUACUGUAUUCUGUUCAUCAUGGAUUUUUUGCAUUAAUUUUUUUUUUUUUAACAUCUUUAUAAAAAAUAUGGAACGCUUCACGAAUUUGCGUGUCAUCCUUGCGCAGGGGCCAUGCUAAUCUUCUCUGUAUCGUUCCAAUUUUAGUAUAUGUGCUGCCGAAGCGAGCACUGCAUUAAUUUUUAUUUUAAUUAAAAAUUUUUUAUAUUUAAAAAUAUUGCAUCAAAAAAUAUUGCAUCAAGAUUAUUUAUCAUUUUAAUUUGUUUUGAUUACUGAGGGUUUGUUUGUUCAUUUUUGGUGCCCCCCUUCUUCCCCACUUACGCCUCAUCCCAAUCGGGCACUGGCUGGUGGGAAGCAAUGAGAAAGGAAACUGCACAAGGGUCUCCCCAGGUUAAGCUUUUCUUCCUUUUUUUCUUUUUCUCUCUGUGUCUCCCUCUCCCAACAUUUUUUCCUUCUUCCCUCUCUCCCUCUCCCCACCCCCACCUUUCCCUCCCUACCUUUCUUUUUUGUUGUUGUUGUUUUUGUUUUUGUUUUUUUUGCGGUACGCGGGUCUUUCACUGUUGUGGCCUCUCCCGUUGCGGAGCACAGGCUCCGGACGCACAGGCUCAGCGGCCAUGGCUCAGGGGCCCAGCCGCUCCGCGGCAUGUGGGAUCUUCCCGGACCGGGGCACGAACCCAUGUCCCCUGCAUCGACAAGCGGACUUUCAGCCACUGCGCCACCAGGGAAGCCCCCUACCUUUCUUUUUAAUUUUUUUUAAUACCUUUCUUACUCUGGGUCUCCAGCCCAUCAGCUUUCCCCUAGCUGUUACUGAAGGCUCUGCCCUGGCCCGGAGCUAACUGGCUUCUGGGGGACUGGGAGCUGGGGAGGGCUCAGUAUUUCUGAGAGGAAGAGGCCUAAUCGAUUUGCACAGGUUUAAAAACACUUAAUUUUUAAAAAUCCUCUACAUUUCAGAGCCUUGGAGCCAAGUUUGGUUUGCCCAGCCCUAGUAACUGCUAGCCUUUUGUAUAUGAUAAAGACAAUUGGAAGAUUAAGAAAAACUUAUGGAGUAACUGGGUGAGGAGAAGGAAAAAAAAAGAUUUUUUAAAACGGAUACGUGUAAACUGGAGAAAGAUCGCCUGAAGUGGAAUCACCGUGGCUGAGUGGCAACGUCCAAAGAAAAUUGAGCUGUCCUGGUUUCAGUUGCGCACAUAUGAAUGCAGGCGGCCGCCUUUCUGAUGUGUAGUUUCUUGCGAUGAAGAAAAACUGCUGAAGUCAUGAGGCUGCUCCAAGCAGAGCCCUCAUGUGAGUCAUAUGAAAGCUCCAGCAUUGCUGACCUCUGGCAAAAAGGGAGUGAACAAGGAAGGAGAGGCAGAGGGUGAGAGGUUCAAGUGCCGGGUUUUCUCCUUGAACCUAGAAGAUUAUGGGCCAAGAGCUGUGUGCAAAGACUCUGCAGCCUGGAUGCAGCUGCCAUUGCUGUUGGGAGGGAGGAGAUGCACACAGCCGUCAGAGGAGUGCUCCGGUGAUGAUGGAGGCUGCGAUCAAGCUAACAGACCUAAAAGAAGCAUCAUGUUCCAUGACUUCAUUUCACCCCAGGGGACUUCAGGCUGUCCGUGCCCGGAAGUUCAAGAGUAAAAGGCCACGGAGUAACAGCGAUUCUUUUCAGGAAGAGGAUCUGAGUCAGGGUUUUCAGUGGAGGAAGAGCCUCCCCUUUGGGGCAGCCUCAUCUUACUUGAACUUGGAGAAGCUGGGUGAAGGUUCUUACGCUACAGUUUACAAGGGGAUUAGCCGGAUAAAUGGACAACUAGUGGCUUUAAAAGUCAUCAGCAUGAAUGCAGAGGAAGGAGUCCCAUUUACAGCCAUCCGGGAAGCUUCUCUCCUGAAGGGUUUGAAACAUGCCAAUAUUGUGCUGCUCCAUGACAUUAUCCACACCAAAGAGACACUGACAUUCGUUUUUGAAUACAUGCACACAGACCUGGCUCAGUAUAUGUCUCAGCAUCCAGGAGGGCUUCAUCCUCACAAUGUCAGGCUUUUCAUGUUUCAACUUUUGCGGGGCCUGGCGUACAUCCACCACCAACACGUUCUCCACAGGGACCUGAAACCUCAGAACUUACUCAUCAGUCACCUGGGAGAACUCAAAGUGGCUGAUUUUGGUCUUGCUCGGGCCAAGUCCAUUCCCAGCCAGACAUACUCUUCAGAAGUUGUGACUCUCUGGUACCGCCCUCCUGAUGCCUUGCUGGGAGCCACUGAAUAUUCCUCUGAACUGGACAUAUGGGGUGCAGGCUGCAUCUUUAUUGAAAUGUUCCAGGGUCAACCCUUGUUUCCUGGGGUUUCCAACAUCCUUGAACAGCUGGAGAAGAUCUGGGAGGUGCUGGGAGUCCCUACAGAGGAUAACUGGCCUGGAGUUUCCAAGCUACCUAACUACAAUCCAGAAUGGUUCCCACUGCCUAAGCCUCAGAGCCUUCAGAAUGUCUGCAACCGGUUAGACAGGGCUCCGGAAGCUGAAGACCUGGCCUCCCAAAUGCUGAAAGGCUUUCCAAGAGACCGUGUCUCCGCCCAGGACGCACUGGUUCACAAUUAUUUCAGGGCCCUGCCUGCUCAGCUGCACCAACUUCCUGAUGUGGAGUCUCUAUUUACAGUUUCAGGAGUGAGGCUAAAGCCAGAAAUGUGUGACCUGUUGGCCUCCUACCGGAAAGGUCACCACCCAGCCGGGUUUAGCAAAUGCUGGUGAAAAGAAAGGGCGAGAUCACCAAGAUUUUCCAGGGAGUCCUCUCCAGGGUGAGCUCUGGGAACCAUGAGGACCUGAUAGGGAGGGAGGACCCAUCCACAAAUGUCACAGACUCAGCUGCUCUCAGCAGUCUCCUCCGUCAGCCCAGGGCAACCCAGCCUUCCAAGGACUACCUGUAUUGCUGUUUCCGUUUUAAUUUGCUUCCACUUACUAAGAAGCUUCAAAUCUAACUCCACACUGGACCAAGGGUUUUAUACCAUCACCUGUGAUGUGGAAUAUUUUAAAUAUGAUGUCCAAGGCAACAGUGCAUAAUACUUGAGGAAAAAGCAAUGAAAGGUUAUUGCUGCUGUCAUUUGCCUAGAACUUAACAGUGAUUGGCUCAAAAAUUAGACAUAGAUUGAAAUCAUCUGAGAAGAGAACUUCUGAAUAAUUUCAUUCAUUUCGUUAUUUGAUAGAGUGAUCCUUGGGCCAGAAGGAGAACAGGACAGAAGGGAGACAACAAUUGAAAGACUUUGGAGACAGAGCUGGUGCUUGCAGAGGCCUGUCACUCCUGUGGUCACUUACAAUUUCCCGCAACAAAAGGACUUCUGUGGCAAGGAGAGGAUUAGUCUAAAGUUUAGAAAAGUCUACAGGGAAGGUGGUUUCUUGGAUAAAGUUGUCAACGAAAGGAGUCUUGCUUAAGACUCUUUGUUAUGAUUUCCUAGGGGGCGCUUCUUCCUUCACUAACUGGAUUGUCAAAACACAUUACCACCCCAUCCCAGCCAGAUUUUGGGAGUUUGGAUUGAGCUGCUGGUUAGAAUUAAAUUUCAGGCUGUCUCCUUCUACUGAAUCCUAAUUGUCUGUGAUGACAGCAAAAGUGAUGAGUAAUCUCAGCUCUGACUUGAUGGCAGAGAUACUGAAUAGAUAGAUAAGAGCAAAGAGUUCCAAAGUUGUAAUUCAAGUCCUGUUGCACCAUGAGAUACACAUGCUUGUGUGCACACACAUAAGCCUCAAAUAAAAUGAGAGAUCUGUCUCGGCUAA